rnacentral:rRNA from 6 species
GGUUAAGCGACUAAGCGUACACGGUGGAUGCCCUGGCAGUCAGAGGCGAUGAAGGACGUGCUAAUCUGCGAAAAGCGUCGGUAAGGUGAUAUGAACCGUUAUAACCGGCGAUGUCCGAAUGGGGAAACCCAGUGCAAUUCGUUGCACUAUCGUUAACUGAAUACAUAGGUUAACGAGGCGAACCGGGGGAACUGAAACAUCUAAGUACCCCGAGGAAAAGAAAUCAACCGA